CACACAGCUGCAGGAUGUGGAGUUUGCCCUGCUGGGUUUCAGUCGCUUUGGUCCAGUACUUCCUCACUAUGCCCCCGUUCCUCCCUUUUGGAAUGGUGAUGUCUAUUCUGUGCCACGUUCUUUUUUGGGCUCGUCUGUGAAGAGGAGUCUUGCUUUCCUGGGUCCGAUUUUAUCAUGAGAAGAACUCAGACCGUCCUCGGGUUACCAGGCUUGUGCAGCAAGCACCUUUACCGGCUGUGUGACCUUCGAGGCAAGCCCUGGAGGAUGUCCACCCUGGCAGCUCUGCUGUCCCUCGCGGGUCCUUUGGCGCCAUGCUCUCCCCUGCCACUGCCAGAGCUGGACACAGAGUCUGGGUGUCAGGCUCAUGUGGUCAGAGAGGACCUGCUUGUCAGAGUCUCUUUGCCAAACACCCUUCUAAACCCAUCUUCACCCAGGUCACCCGCCUCCCUAGCAUGUAAACGUCAGGGACGGCAUCACCCUAAGGCACCCUCCGGUCUAACCAGUCGUAGCUAGGGUUGUAGGAUUGGGCUACACAACACAUCAAGCUUUCCAGAGAAGGAACCAUUGGCGGCCAGCUCUUGGAAGUGGCCCGUGGGCAUAGUAGAUGGCUUGAAAAUCUAUGCAUCAGUCUUCAGCUUCUACCCCUCACUUCCGUGUGGCUUUAGAGAAUUCCCAUGCGAUACUCCAACUCCACCCAGCAAAUGCAGCCACCCAAGUUGUUUCUUCUCGGUGAGGGAAAGCAGAAUACAUUAGACUGCCAAAGGAUACAGAGGGGUUUGGCUCUGAAGUUGUUAGAAAUCCUAUAGAUGAGGAAGCGGGAGGCUGGAGAAGGUUAAACAGCUUGUUAACGGGACCUCAUUUGUUAUCGGGAUUCCAGCCCGAGGUUGCUUCCUUUCUUCAGGGUUUAUGCUCUACCAAACUAGCUUACGUGGGGACAGCCUCUUCUCUGGGGCUGGUGAAAUGGCUAUUCCUAGACCAAUUUCCACUGAAGCAAUACCAUACAGAAAGGCAUGUGCAAGCAAGCACAGCAGAGCAGACAAUUCCCUGGAAGUCUAAGGCAGGAGGAUUCCGAGUUUGAGGCCAGUUUGAGUUAUGCAGCAUUCCAAGCCAUCCUGAGAUAUGUAGAGAAACUCUUUUACAAAAAAGGAAAAAGUUUACCUUCAUUCAUAGCAACUUAUGGACCUAUUUCUAGCCUUGGAAGCUCAGGGUGUUUUUCUCGCUUGGUUUAUAGGUUGUCAAGCCCAGGUCAUGCACUUGGAAAGUGAAAGCCAGCCACUUAGAGCUCCAUCAUGCUGAUGGGUGAGGGGAUGAUGUAAGCUACUUCUGCUCCUGAGUGCACAUCUCCUGCCUGACCUUUGAUCCAAAUCAAUUAAGCAAUGAAAUUAUGAAACCUCACUUCUGAUCAAUACCUUCCGUCCAGAGGGACACUGUGCUGUCCUUACAGACUAUUAUUAGAUUGGGUUUGGAAUGUGAACUGCUGCAUCAUGUAGAAUUAAAACAAAAUAAAGCAAAAGGAAACACUUAAA